rnacentral:lncRNA from 1 species
CCCCUUAUAGAAUCGAUUAUUGAUGGGAAGAUAUUAUUAAUUAUCGAAAAUAUUAUUUAAUUAUUCUCAGAAUUAUUUUCUUUCAAUGUUUAUUAAAAUACAACUAAAACCCAUCACAGAAUUUUAAAAUGCUUGCUGACGUCACAUUUAAACGUGGCAACAUUGGUUUCCCCACUUUGACAGCUAGGGAUUUUGAGAAUUGCCACGAGGUUCUUGGGCCGUUGAACUGAACACGCCAUUGUGCUUUGAGGAGUGAGUCUACGUAGAUGCGGGGUUAUUGAACUAAGAUUUACCUAUAAUUCUAAGUUCCAAAGUUAUUAAAUAGUUAUAUUGUAGUCAUCCAGGAUCAGUGAACAGUGAAUUUGAAGAAUUGUACCGCAUAAUGGAGUUCCACCCCGCAUCUACUAUGAAAUCUUAAAAAACAAAAACCACCUAACACCACCAGGGACAGACCACUCCUCGAGCAACAAUCACUGGACAACCAGCCUGGAUCAUUUCCAGUUGUUCUUCCUUUAAGUACCUCCAGCUGUUUCCACCAGCCUUCCUGUACCUCCAGCAGGACCGCUGCAAGCGAAAGUUAGCACCACUGGGUGCUCAUUACAUCAGCCAGACGAUUGUGUAAAAGGGGUUUGUUUGGGGACAUUUGGUGCGUUUUUAGUAAAGACAGACUGUUUUUUGUGAUAUUCAGGACAUAUUUUUUUUUAUAGUUUAAUUGCACACAAAUUUUUCCUGCUUCAUAUUUU